UACGUAGGGUGCGAGCGUAAUCGGAAUUACUGGGCGUAAAGCGCACGUAGGCGGCUUUGUAAGUUAGAGGUGAAAGCCCGGGGCUCAACUCCGGAAUUGCCUUUAAGACUGCAUCGCUAGAAUUGUGGAGAGGUAAGUGGAAUUCCGAGUGUAGAGGUGAAAUUCGUAGAUAUUCGGAAGAACACCAGUGGCGAAGGCGACUUACUGGACACAUAUUGACGCUGAGGUGCGAAAGCGUGGGGAGCAAACAGG
rnacentral:rRNA from 1 species